CAGUCGCCGCGGUAAUACGGAGGGGGCUAGCGUUGUUCGGAAUUACUGGGCGUAAAGCGCACGUAGGCGGCUAUGUAAGUUAGAGGUGAAAGCCUGGAGCUCAACUCCAGAAUUGCCUUUAAGACUGCCGAGCUAGCAGGUGAGAGAGGUAAGUGGAAUUCCGAGUGUAGAGGUGAAAUUCGUAGAUAUUCGGAAGAACACCAGUGGCGAAGGCGGCUUACUGGCUCAUACUGGACGCUGAGGUGCGAAAGCAUGGGGAGCAAACAGGAUUAGAUACCCCUGUAGUCCCUGUCUCUUAUAC
rnacentral:rRNA from 1 species